GAAAAGGAAAGUUCCAUUCCAUGGAUUUGCUUAAGUUUACAAAAAGAGUUCCAGAAAGUAGUUGCAGAGCUCUAUCUCUUAGGGAAGCCAUUACAAAGAUAGAAGGUGCGGUGCGCUCACUUGCCGGGGACAAAGUUGGUGGCGAAAGCCCAAGCAUUGUUGGCUACAGGGUCAGCAAUGUGGUCAUAAAGGUUCUCAACGGGACCUUUGCCAGUAACAAUGGCCUGGACGAAGAAGCCAAACAUGGAGAACAUAGCGAGGCGGCCAUUCUUGAUCUCCUUGACCUUCAACUCAGCAAAGGCCUCAGGAUCAUCUGCCAGGCCAAGUGGGUCGAAGGAGCCACCAGGAUAAAGUGGGUCAAGCCCUUCUCCGAGAGGUCCUCCACCAACUCUGUAACCUUCAACGAAUCCCAUGAGCACAACCUGGCAAGCCCAGAUUGCAAGGAUGCUCUGAGCAUGGACCAAGUUCGGGUUUCCGAGGUAAUCCAGACCUCCUUCGGAGAAGAUCUGAGCUCCAGCCUUGAACCAGACUGCCUCACCGAACUUGACUCCGUUCUUGGAAAGGAUUUCUGGGAAGACACAACCAAGUGCACCAAGCAUAGCCCACCUGCAGUGGAUAACCUCAAGCUCACGGUUCUUGGCGAAUGUCUCUGGGUCUGCU
rnacentral:lncRNA from 1 species